rnacentral:lncRNA from 1 species
GAUUAUAUUCGUGUCUGUGUGUGUCAAGUGAGAAGAGAAGAGUAGUACUUAUAGUUUUUGAAAAUAGAUGAGAAUAUGGUAGGGAGUAUAUAAUUAUAGAAACAAUACCAAAUUGAAUCAAUCAUAGGUCCUAAUUCAAAUAAAUCAGGGACUCAUGAUUCGAAUAGGAGUACCGGCUAUCAAAUAAGGAAAACAAAUCACUUGAAUGACUGAAUAUACCAUAACAAAAGCAGUAGGCAUGCCAUACAUAAUAAAGGCUAGGUAGACAAUAUUUCAAACAAGGAAAAUAUAUGCUGAAUAACCAAAAUAUACUUGAGUGCACAAAUAUGGCAAGCAAUAUAAAUCAACUAUGAACAGUUAGUCAAAGAAUCACGGGCAAGACCAAAAUUAGAGGAAAUUAGUCCCAAACAUAGCAAGCAACUCACAAUUAAGGAAAUAAUUUGAAAUCAGUGUAAGAAUACAUACGAAUCAGGGAUUCAAAAAGAUACUCGAAACUAAUAGGAUACUCAAUAAAGAGAGAGGCGUUCGAACUUAAAAGGUCACAGAAAUUAAAAACCCUAAGCAAGGAAUCGUACAAACAGUAGAGGGUCUGAGCCCUAGAAGUGACAACAAGGUUUCAAGCACAUAACAGAGGAAUAAACACAUAAUACCCAAAAGAAAACAGAAGCAUAGCGAUUUUAAAAUGGGGUCAAAAACCCUAGUUUUGAAAAAGAGGAAAGUGUUGGAAAACUUGACUUAAACGAGGAUAUCAAGUGACAAGUAGUGUAGAAAACAAAGAUUAAA